rnacentral:rRNA from 1 species
GAAUUUUCCGCAAUGGGCGAAAGCCUGACGGAGUGACGCCGCGUGGGGGACGAAGGCCUUCGGGUUGUAAACCCCUGUCAGAGGGAAAGAAGGGUGUCGGCGUGAAUAGCGCUGAUACUUGACGGUACCUUCAGAGGAAGCCCCGGCCAACUCUGUGCCAGCAGCCGCGGUAAGACAGAGGGGGCAAGCGUUGCUCGGAAUCACUGGGCGUAAAGGGCGCGUAGGCGGGAUGGCAAGUCGGUCGUGAAAUCCUUCGGCUCAACCGAAGAACGUCGGCCGAUACUGCCGUUCUUGAGGGAUGCAGAGGAGACUGGAAUUCCCGGUGUAGCGGUGAAAUGUGUAGAGAUCGGGAGGAACACCGGUGGCGAAGGCGGGUCUCUGGGCAUCUCCUGACGCUGAGGCGCGAAAGCGUGGGGAGCAAACGGG